AUUUCAACCGUUGAUGAAGGAGAAAUUAAAAUUCUCCCGUCUAUAUGUAAAUCUGAACCACACUCUUGUUUUUUCCCUCCUUUAGCGCCUUUCUGUGGAUGAACAAAAGGCAGCCAGGUUCAAUGAACCUCGACUUAUAUGUACACUAAGCUGUGAAACUGCAGACAAACUGGGCUGAGAAAGAGAGAACUAUCUAUGGCUUCUUUGGCAACUCAUCACUUCAUCACCGUUAUGAUCAUGGAUCAGGCUCAAAAAACGGCGUAGAACCGAGUCCAAACAUUAUCUCAUCAAAAUAUACUCAAGCGAGAGGAUUGAUCAAUAUGAAUAUGAUCUAUAAGAUGUUCGUGUUUGAUAGAAUAAUAUGAGUCAUGACUUCGUGUCCACGGCUUGAAACAAGAAAAAGAGUUCCCCUUUCAGAAACUUCAAUCUCUUUAUUAAGAGAGCACAAUAAACAAAAUUUAUAUGUAUUGUCUUCUUGCAUUCUCAUUUUGAUUUUCUGUUUUUUCUUGGACAAUGGAUUAGUUUCACCUGUUUGUAACCUUUUUCUUAAAACUGAAUUUUGUCGAGGCCUAUAUAUAUAUAUAUCUUUUAAUACA